UACGAAGGGGGCUAGCGUUGUUCGGAAUUACUGGGCGUAAAGCGUGCGCAGGCGGCUUCUCAAGUCAGGGGUGAAAGCCCAGAGCUCAACUCUGGAAUUGCCUUUGAUACUGGCGAUCUCGAGUCCGGGAGAGGUGAGUGGAACUCCGAGUGUAGAGGUGAAAUUCGUAGAUAUUCGGAAGAACACCAGUGGCGAAGGCGGCUCACUGGCCCGGUACUGACGCUGAGGCGCGACAGCGUGGGGAGCAAACAGG
rnacentral:rRNA from 1 species